GUGCCAGCCGCCGCGGUAAAACGUAGGAGGCGAGCGUUAUCCGGAAUUACUGGGCGUAAAGCGCGUGCAGGCGGUUCGGUUAGUUGGAUGUGAAAGCUCCUGGCUUAACUGGGAGAGGUCGUUCAAUACUACCGGACUUGAGAGUGGUAGAGGGAGAUGGAAUUCCGCAUGUAGUGGUGAAAUGCGUAGAUAUGCGGAGGAACACCAGUGGCGAAAGCGGUCUCCUGGCCCACUUCUGACGCUCAGACGCGAAAGCUAGGGUAGCAAACGGGAUUAGAAACCCUUGUAGUCC
rnacentral:rRNA from 1 species